rnacentral:rRNA from 1 species
UGUGUAGGCGGUCCUCUAAGUUUGGUGUGAAAUCUCCCGGCUCAACUGGGAGGGUGCGCCGAAAACUGGAGGGCUAGAGUGCGGGAUGGGAAAGUGGAAUUCCUGGUGUAGCGGUGAAAUGCGUAGAUAUCAGGAGGAACACCUGUGGUGUAGACGGCUUUCUGGACCGCAACUGACGCUGAGACACGAAAGCGUGGGUAGCAAACAGGAUUAGAUACCCUGGUAGUCCACGCCCUAAACGAUGCAUAUUUGGUGUGGGCCAUUCAUUUGGUCCGUGCCGGAGCUAACGCGUUAAAUAUGCCGCCGUGGGGAGUACGGUCGCAAGGCUGAA